ACUAAUAUGGCAGAUUAGUGCAAAGAAUUUAAGCUUCUUAAAUGUUAUAAAAACUAUUAGUA
rnacentral:tRNA from 1 species